AGACGUCCUUUUCUCCGGGAGCUGCAUGGGGACUGCAGGAGUCCAAAGCCUCGCUGUGUUUUAUGGGGAACAGUUAUUAAUAUUGGGUCAAAUAAUCCAGUAUUUCUUCACUCUGGUGCUGAAGGUCCGCUGCGCUGCUCUUUACUCUGUUUUCAUUUAAAGCCCCUCAGUCUUAAAACAGCGGCACUAGCGGGCCUCCAGCACCGAUAGUGAUUAUUACCCUGCCGGAUUAGAUUAGAGCAGCGCGGCGGAGCUCUGUAAGUCCCGGUGACGCUGCAACUGGAUUUUAUAAAGAUACGAGAAAAGAAUGCUUUCGUCGUGGAUUUAACAUGAAAAGGCCCAGUUCCAAAAGACACAACAUCCUCAGUGUCCUGGAGCUCCAGCUGAAGCACUGGCCACUCCACCUUCUCCAUCCCCACCCAAAAGAGGUACUUCUAAGGCAGCUAGUUGAAGGCGUGAUUGAGGUCCAUGCCAGAGGGGUUCUGCACUGUGACCUCAAGCCAUAGAACAUCCUGUUUCAGAUGUACAGUUAGGAACCACGCCUUCAUCUUCUGUUCUUCUGGACCUUCCUCAUGAGUGGUUUACCCAUGAGGCCAAAUCCUCCACAGUGUUGCAGAUAGGAAUCAUCCUGCUGUGUGUGAGAGGUGACCCUUCAACACCAGCACGGGGAUCACCUCAAAGAAGUCUCAGAUCAUCUCUCCACCAUCUGCUCUAUGACCCCUGGCUAAGUAUACACCACGACACAGCCACCACAUCAGGCACACCUCAGUCAGGUACCAUAUAAAACAAUAAUAAUAAUAAUAAAAAAAAAUCUAUAUUUUCAAUCUGUAGUUUAGAGAGUUCUCUAGUAGAGCUGGGCGAUUAAUCGAUUUUAUCGAUAAAUUCGAAUUUACAGUUAAGGACAAUGUGUUUUUAUGAAAAUCGAUUUUCUCUGAGUUUUCUUUUUCACCACAGACGCUCCUCUGUGGGCACAGAGUGAGCUUAGCUAGCUCCCUCCAUACCUCCCUCCCUCCAGCGCGCGCACCCCCCGCCCCUCCCUCACUCCCUCUCUCCCUUGCACGCACAAACACACACACAUACACAAAACACAUGACGGCGGAGCUUAAGAGCAACUAGCUCCGUGAUCUGGAGUUGGUUCGGUUUUGCGGCGUCGGACGUAGACCAAACAGGUCCUCGCUGUAAGGUGAACCAAUUUAUCACUAUACCUUAAACAGAAGCAUGUAGCGGAGUGGGAGAAGUGCUACUACCAUAGGAAUGAACGCAGCAGCAGCACCAGUUCACCAUUCAACGUUAAACAAGGAACUGUCCCUGGCACAUCUUCCAACCGUGUACCAGGUUUUGUAUGCACUACAAGUUAAGAUGUUUUGCAUAUUCAUGAGAAAAGAUCUCAUUUUAUAGAACACUGGCACUUAUUUAAAAGCUUUGUUUUGCAAUUCUAGCCCAAUAGGGAAAAGUAUUUACUUAAGAGCAUAUAAAUUGUACUUGUUUUCUAUUGUCUACUUUGUAAGUUUUAUCAAAAAAGGGCACCAUUUCAUUUAUUUCUAUUUGUUUUUAAGGGUGUGUGUUUUAUUUAUUUAUUUUUUAAGUUUGAGGGUGCAUUGUGUUAGUACCUAAACUAUGUUGGAGAAAGCUUUCUAAAAGUCACUAGAUGUUCUCACUGUUUACAAUAGUUUUUUUUUGCUUGUUUCUGGUUGCACUUUAACCACAAAUGGAACAUUUUAAGUGAAAACAAAUUAAAUAAGAACUGGUUUUUAACCAUUUCUUUAUCAUCUUUAGUUUGAUCUUUAGUAGGGGGAAAAAAUCGAUUUAAAUCGAAAAUUGGAUUUAAAAAAAAAAAAAUCUGAGUUUUUUUUUUUUCGGCCAUAUCGCCCAGCUCUAUACUCUAGUUUAGAGGUUUUUUUUUAUUUUAUAAAACACACCUAAGGAAAAUAGCAGGUAUUAAUAAAGCUAUUGAUUCCAUACUUUUAAAAAGGUAAUGAUUUUCUUUAACUAUAUAAAUGUUUUAAUCGUUUUGUGUAUUGUAUGCUUUUAAUUGCUUCCUGUUUUGUAUUUGUGUUCAUGUACUUAAGGCUUUAAUCCUUUUAUCUUGAUAUUGUUUAUCUUUUGAUGUUUAUUAAUUACUUAACUGUAUUUCUUUAUGUAGUAUACUGUUAGUGUUUUAAUCCAUACACUUUUUGUAUAUAUUUCUUUUAUUGCUUAGUUACUUGCUUUAUUAAUGGUUAUUGUAUUGGUGUUUUAGUCUUAUUUUGGGCUUAUAUUCAUUAAAAACAUUUUAACGUUUGUCUUUUAGUGCUUUAAUCAAUUAAUAUUGUACUUACCUUUUACUAUUUUACUAUUAAUCUUUCUGUACUUAAUUCUGAUAUUUAUACAUUAUUUUUUAUUUAAUUUUCUUUCAGCUUUGUAUUACAUUGUUUAUUAAUUGUAUGUCUUUAUACGGGAUUUUAUAUUUGCAUUGUAUAUAUUUUUGUUUCAUUUAAUGUUUAUGCUCUUUGUCUUUUUCAGAUUUUUACAUUUUUCAAUUUGUGUAUUGACCCAAGUAGUAUGGGUUCCUCUCAAGGUUUCUAUCUCUCUUUCUGAGAGAAUUUUCUUUGCCGCUGUCUCCUUUAUGCUUACUCAAAAGAGGUUUGGACACUUUUUUUUUUUUUUAACUGUUCUUAAUUUUGUUUGUUUCUUAACUUUGUCAAUAAAUGUUUUUUUAUUGCUA